rnacentral:lncRNA from 1 species
AUUUCUUCCAUUCCCCUUUCCAUUUCAUGGUGGAAGUGGGGUAAAACGCUCUGCAGUAAACUGAGGUCUGUGGCCAAUAAGGGCCAAUAAAGGUCUGUCUGUCACAGAGGCACAAGCAUCAUGAUGGGAGAAAGAGGAAGGCAGAGAUGACAAGGAGCCUUCAAGAAAGAGGUGGCAUUUGAAUGGGUCCUUAACAUGCCGCAUCUUCUCUCCUGAUGGGCCUGCACACAUGUGAGUUCAUUCAGUAACUAUUUCCUGAGCCCCUGCUGAGCCAGACACCAUGCAGGGCACAGAGUACACAGAGCGAGUAGAAGAGACAUUGUCUUGUCCUCCCCAGGCGACCAUCCCAGAGAACCUUCUGGAUGAUGGAAAUGUCCAUGCUGAUGAGUAGCCACUGUCCACCUGCAGCUCUUGAGCACUUGGGGUAUGGUUAAUACAACCAUCAGCUGAAUUCCUAAUUUUAUUUAAUUCAAAUAGUUGCAUGUGGCUAGUGGCCACUCUGGGACACUGCAGGUUUAGAGGGAGAUAAGGAACAUCGAGAAAUGCUUCUGGUGAUACGUGCGACCCAGGAAACAGGGGGCCGUGGAGGAGAGGAAUGGGGAGUGUCCUCUUUAGGUUGGAUGAUCAGGGAAGACCUCUCCAAGGAGGUGACAUUUCAACAGAGACCUGGAGGAUGAGUGUGGC